CCUACGGGAGGCAGCAGUGGGGAAUAUUGCGCAAUGGACGAAAGCCUGACGCAGCGACGCCGCGUGAGGGAUGAAGGUCUUCGGAUCGUAAACCUCUGUCAGCAGGGAAGAACGGUCACUGUGCUAAUCAGCAGUGAAUUGACGGUACCUGCAAAGGAAGCACCGGCUAACUCCGUGCCAGCAGCCGCGGUAAUACGGAGGGUGCGAGCGUUAAUCGGAAUUACUGGGCGUAAAGCGCUCGUAGGCGGUAUGUCAAGUCAAGGGUGAAAUCCCCGCGCUCAACGUGUGAACUGCCUUUGAAACUGGCAAACUGGAGUGUGUGAGAGGAUAGUGGAAUUCCAGGUGUAGGAGUGAAAGCCGUAGAUAUCUGGAGGAACAUCAGUGGCGAAGGCGACUAUCUGGCACAUAACUGACGCUGAGGAGCGAAAGCGUGGGUAGCAAACAGGAUUAGAUACCCCUGUAGUC
rnacentral:rRNA from 1 species